UACGUAGGGGGCAAGCGUUGUCCGGAAUCAUUGGGCGUAAAGCGCGUGUAGGCGGUCCGGUAAGUCAGAUGUGAAAGCCCAGGGCUCAACCCUGGAAUUGCAUCCGAUACUGCCAUGCUGGAGUACUGAAGAGGUGACUAGAAUUCUCGGUGUAGCAGUGAAAUGCGUAGAUAUCGAGAGGAAUACCAAAGGCGAAGGCAGGUCACUGGGCAGUUACUGACACUGAGGCACGAAGGCCAGGGGAGCAAACGGG
rnacentral:rRNA from 1 species